rnacentral:rRNA from 1 species
UGGGCAACCUGCCUCAGCUCUGGGAUAACUCCAAGAAAUUGGGGCUAAUACCGGAUAUGACCGCUGACCGCAUGGUCUGGUGGUGGAAAGAUUUAUCGGCUGGGGAUGGGCCCGCGGCCUAUCAGCUUGUUGGUGGGGUAGUGGCCUACCAAGGCGACGACGGGUAGCCGGCCUGGGAGGGUGACCGGCCACACUGGGACUGAGACACGGCCCAGACUCCUACGGGAG